UACAUGUGGGGCAAGCGUUGUUCGGAAUUACUGGGCGUAAAGCGUGCGUAGGCGGUUCUCCAAGUCCGUUGUGAAAGCCCCGGGCUCAACCUGGGAAUGGCAGUGGAAACUAGGGGACUGGAAUCUGGCAGAGGGGGGUGGAAUGCCGCGUGUAGCAGUGAAAUGCGUAGAGAUGCGGCGGAACACCGAUGGCGAAGGCAGCCCCCUGGGCUGAGAUUGACGCUCAGGCACGAAAGCGUGGGGAGCAAACAGG
rnacentral:rRNA from 1 species